AAUAAGUGCAGUUUUGCACUAUUCAUGUUCAACGUUUGACCGCUCGUCUUAUUUGAAAAUUUUUUAUGAUUAGUAUUUUUAUUGCUAUUAAAUGAUAAAACAUGAAUACUACUUUAUGUGUGACUAAAUAUUUUUUCAAAUUUUUCAUAAAUUUUUCAAAUAAGACAGACGGUCAAACGUUGGCUACAGAUAUCCACGGCUGCACUUAUU
rfam:Oryza barthii chromosome 11, whole genome shotgun sequence.